rnacentral:lncRNA from 1 species
AUGUUACCGGACGCUCGCAGAGUUGGGAAGCCGGCGUGGUCCCUAAUAGGGCUGCUCGGGCUAGGCUGGUGCAGAGGAGGGGAGCUUCCUUCGCCGGAGUCAUCGCCCCAGGCCCCGCGUCCGCGCCGCGCCGAGGGGAGCCCCGAGGAUGGAGGGGCCCGGUGGGAGCGGACCCGGAGGUCAGGACUAGGUCUUCUGCCCUUGGCCUUUUGCCCCAGCGGUCGGCCCGGUGCCGGCCACGUGGGACGCACGCAGACUAGGUCCUUCCGAACCCAACCGAACACAGGAGACAAAAGCGCCCACUUUUCUCCACUCCCGCGCGGGUCCUGCCCCAACCCGGAGUCAUUCGGAGGGGCGCGGGGCGCGGGGCGGGGGGCGCGCGGGGCGGGGGUGCGCGCUGGGGACCCGCGGAGCAGGGGGGCGCGGGGCAGGGGUGCACGGGGCGGGGGCGCGCACUGGGGACCCGCGGAGCAGGGGGGCGCGGGGCGCGCGGGCGGGGGCGCGCACUGGGGACUCGCGGAGCAGGGGGCGCGGGGCAGGGGGCGCGCGGGGCGGGGGUGCGCGCUGGGGACCCGCGGAGCAGGGGGGCGCGGGGCGGGGGCGCGCACUGGGGACCCGCGGAGCAGGGGGGCGCGGGGCGCGCGGGGCGGGGGCGCGCACUGGGGACCCGCGGAGCAGGGGGGCGCGGGGCAGGGGGCGCGCGGGGCGGGGGUGCGCGCUGGGGACCCGCGGAGCAGGGGGGCGCGGGGCGGGGGCGCGCACUGGGGACCCGCGGAGCAGGGGGGGCGCGGGGCGGGGGCGCGCGGGGCGGGGGCGCGCGCUGGGGACCCGCGGAGCAGGGGGGCGGGGCGGGGCGCGGGGUGCGCGGGGCGGGUGCGCGCACUAGGGACCCGCGGAGCAGGGGGGCGCGGGGCGCGCGGGGCGGGGGUGCGCCCUGGGGACCCGCGGAGCGGGGGCGGGGGUGGCGAGGGGCGCGCGCCCAGGGCCGGCGCGCGGGAGAGCGGGGAAGGGGGUGGUCUCCCGAAGGGGGAGGGGAGAAGGCAGGGGGCGGGGAGAAGCAGGGCCCUUUAG